AUUACAUUACGUAACACGCAGUUCAGAAGUAGGGCAUUCCUGGGCUGGUUUAUUCAAGAAGUCAUCGAGUAUCUGGGUUCCCAUCUUCCUGCUCUGCCGAACCUCAGUGUCAGCUACUCCCUCAAACUGCCAAGAUGGCUGCCACAGCUCCAGCAUCAGUCACCUGUUCUUACAUUUGUGUCCAAAGGCAGAAGGAAGUUUCUCCGUGUGUGUGUGUGUGUGUGUGUGUGUGUGUGUGUGUGUGUGUGUUUAAGAGCAAGAGCAAGAAAUCUAGUUCUUGGCACAUUUCAUCGGUCAGAAUUAUCGCAUGCCUCUGUCUACACCAACGCCUGGCAAGGGAGAUGGAAUAUUCCUGCGAAGGGUUUAGGUUCCGUAAGAUCACCAUGGCAACUAGGGAGGGCCCGACCCGGGACACGCACACUCUAAAAGGGUGAACACCAAAACAAAAUCAGAUGUCUUUCUGAACAGAGAAAAAUUUGAAAUUCCGAGAUGCAGUAGAGAGCUCAGUAGUGAAUCUAAUUAGAAAUGAGAAGCAGAAAAAUAAGAAGGGCCUGUCUCUCGAUAUUAUGAUUGCUCACGAAAACAAAACAAAACAAGUUGAUACAGCAUGAAGGCAAUUUAAGAUGAUAGAUACAGAUGUGCUGCCUUACAUUUCAUAUCACCUCUUGAAUGGGAUUUUUUUUUUUUUAUAGGGAAAGUUUGUACAAUACCGACAGGUUAGACUUUCUGGAAUCUAUGUAAACCCAGGAAUAUAUUUUGGAUCUUAGCCAAGGCCAGUGAUAGCCUAUUAAAUUUAAAACAAUUGGUGAAAGAAAGAAAGAGAAAGAAAGAAAAAGGAAGGAGAAAAGAAAGAGAAGGAAGGAAAGAAAGAAGGAAGGAAUGAGAAAGAAGGAAGAAAAGAGAAAGAAUGAAUGAAGGAAAGAAAGAAAAAAGAAAGAAAAAGAGAGAGCCAGCUGCUAUUUUGUAGUUUAACUUAAAGACAGAAGUAACUUCUAUUCAUUUGCAGACUUUGUGUUAUUGGAUUCUAUGACCAUCAUGUAACAUAACUAUAUAUUUUUUUUUGUUACCUGAAAUAAACAUGCAGUAAUUUUCCUGAUA